rnacentral:lncRNA from 1 species
UUUCUGUGGGAAGAUUUUCUGUUUUCCAGGUUUCCCAAGGGAAACGAAGAAAGGGAGGAGGAUAAUCAAUGACUGAACCUCUAAUAGAUGUUGGACGACGUUAAAAAAAAAAUGUAUCGGCCCUACCCUCGAGGAUUUGACAAAUUAGACUGACCAGAGUAAUAAGAGAUACAGGCAGAAGAGGAGACAUAGACACACACAGAGGAGAAGAUGAUGUGAAAAGGGAGGCAGAGAUCACAGUGGUGUGGCUACAAGCCAAGAAAUACCGAAGCCAUCAGAAGUUGGAAGAGCCACCAAGAGUGCUGAACAAUCAUCUGAGGACAUCAUUGGGUAUCACUGGCAAAGAGAAGAGAUGAAGAAAAGAUAAGAGAAAGAAAUGAAAGUGGAAGAGGGCAGAAAAAGAUAAACAAAAGUUAGGAGAGUUUUCAGGAGGAGAAAAUAAAGAGAAGACAGAGAAGGAAGUAUCUGGUAAGGAAACAAAUACAGAUGUAAUCCAGUUGGGAUACCAGGCUUUCAUUAGGAUAUUUUCUCUCUUUUUCUCCUUAGAUCCACAUUUGUCAGGACGCCAAUUCACCUAAUCAUAUCUGCCAUAUAUUUUCCAUCUAAGUCACCUUGACAAGCUAUCAUUAACCUUGUAGCCCAUGUGUGUCUCAGAAUCCACUCUUCUCCCCACCUACUGGCAUGUGUAUUUAUUUUUAUCUGUGUCAUGAUGUGAUGCUUGGAAUGGCUGCAGUCAUCUUGCAACUCUGAGAAGAAUCAUCCCAAUAAACUGGAGGUUCCAGAGCGGAAAGAUGGGGAAAAAAAUAGGGUCCUUGAUAACCUCAGUGAACUAAUGAAUCAAGCCUGGGACUGCCUAA